rnacentral:rRNA from 1 species
UUAAGCGAAUAAGCGUACACGGUGGAUGCCUAGGCAAUCAGAGGCGAUGAAGGACGUGCUAAUCUGCGAAAAGCGUCGGUAAGGUGAUAUGAACCGUUAUACCCGAUGAUAUCCGAAUGGGGAAACCCAGUAUCCAAUGGAUACUAUCAUUAACUGAAUCCAUAGGUUAAUGAGGCGAACCGGGAGAACUGAAACAUCUCAGUACCCCGAGGAAAAGAAAUCAACCGAGAUUCCCCUAGUAGCGGCGAGCGAACGGGGAGCAGCCCAGAGUCUUAAUCAAUAACAGUGUCAGGAGAACGGUCUGGAAAGUCCGGCAGUAAAGGGUGAUAGCCCCGUAUCUGAAGAUGCUGUUAUUGUGAACUCGACGAGUAGGGCGGGACACGUGUUAUCCUGUCUGAAUAUGGGGGGACCAUCCUCCAAGGCUAAAUACUCCUGAUUGACCGAUAGUGAACCAGUACCGUGAGGGAAAGGCGAAAAGAACCCCGGCGAGGGGAGUGAAAAAGAACCUGAAACCGUGUACGUACAAGCAGUAGGAGCCUCUUUAUGGGGUGACUGCGUACCUUUUGUAUAAUGGGUCAGCGACUUAUAUUCUGUAGCGAGGUUAACCGCAUAGGGGAGCCGUAGGGAAACCGAGUCUUAACUGGGCGAAUGAGUUGCAGGGUAUAGACCCGAAACCCGGUGAUCUAUCCAUGGGCAGGUUGAAGGUUGGGUAACACUAACUGGAGGACCGAACCGACUAAUGUUGAAAAAUUAGCGGAUGACUUGUGGAUGGGGGUGAAAGGCCAAUCAAACCGGGAGAUAGCUGGUUCUCCCCGAAAGCUAUUUAGGUAGCGCCUCGUGAACUCAUCUUCGGGGGUAGAGCACUGUUUCGACUAGGGGGUCAUCCCGACUUACCAACUCGAUGCAAACUGCGAAUACCGAAGAAUGUUAUCACGGGAGACACACGGCGGGUGCUAACGUCCGUCGUGAAGAGGGAAACAACCCAGACCGCCAGCUAAGGUCCCAAAGUCAUGGUUAAGUGGGAAACGAAGUGGGAAGGCUCAGACAGCCAGGAUGUUGGCUUAGAAGCAGCCAUCAUUUAAAGAAAGCGUAAUAGCUCACUGGUCGAGUCGGCCCGCGCGGAAGAUGUAACGGGGCUAAACCAUGCACCGAAGCUGCGGCAGCGACACGUAGUGUUGUUGGGUAGGGGAGCGUUCUGUAAGCCUGCGAAGGUGUACUGUGAGGUAUGCUGGAGGUAUCAGAAGUGCGAAUGCUGACAUAAGUAACGAUAAUGCGGGUGAAAAACCCGCACGCCGGAAGACCAAGGGUUCCUGUCCAACGUUAAUCGGGGCAGGGUGAGUCGACCCCUAAGGCGAGGCUGAAAAGCGUAGUCGAUGGGAAACGGGUUAAUAUUCCCGUACUGGUGGUAACUGCGAUGGGGGAACGGAGAAGGCUAGGUUGUCCGGGCGACGGUCGUCCCGGUUCAAGCAGGUAGGCAGAGUGAUUAGGCAAAUCCGGUCACUUAAUGCUGAGAUGUGAUGACGAACCACUAAGGUGGUGAAGCAAUUGAUGCCCCGCUUCCAGGAAAAGCCUCUAAGCUUCAGGUUACCAACAAUCGUACCCCAAACCGACACAGGUGGUCAGGUAGAGAAUACUCAGGCGCUUGAGAGAACUCGGGUGAAGGAACUAGGCAAAAUGGUGCCGUAACUUCGGGAGAAGGCACGCUGGCAGUAGGUAAAGUCCCUCGCGGACGGCGCUGAAGCCAGUCGAAGAUACCAGCUGGCUGCAACUGUUUAUUAAAAACACAGCACUGUGCAAACACGAAAGUGGACGUAUACGGUGUGACGCCUGCCCGGUGCUGGAAGGUUAAUUGAUGGGGUUAGCGUAAGCGAAGCUCCUGAUCGAAGCCCCAGUAAACGGCGGCCGUAACUAUAACGGUCCUAAGGUAGCGAAAUUCCUUGUCGGGUAAGUUCCGACCUGCACGAAUGGCGUAAUGAUGGCCAGGCUGUCUCCACCCGAGACUCAGUGAAAUUGAACUCGCUGUGAAGAUGCAGUGUACCCGCGGCAAGACGGAAAGACCCCGUGAACCUUUACUAUAGCUUGACACUGAACAUUGAGCCUUGAUGUGUAGGAUAGGUGGGAGGCUUUGAAGUGUGGACGCCAGUCUGCAUGGAGCCAACCUUGAAAUACCACCCUUUAACGUUUGAUGUUCUAACCUAGGCCCAUAAACUGGGUCGGGGACCGUGUCUGGUGGGUAGUUUGACUGGGGCGGUCUCCUCCUAAAGAGUAACGGAGGAGCACGAAGGUUGGCUAAGCAUGGUCGGACAUCAUGCGGUUAGUGCAAAGGCAUAAGCCAGCUUGACUGCGAGAGUGACGGCUCGAGCAGGUACGAAAGUAGGUCUUAGUGAUCCGGUGGUUCUGAAUGGAAGGGCCAUCGCUCAACGGAUAAAAGGUACUCCGGGGAUAACAGGCUGAUACCGCCCAAGAGUUCAUAUCGACGGCGGUGUUUGGCACCUCGAUGUCGGCUCAUCACAUCCUGGGGCUGAAGUAGGUCCCAAGGGUAUGGCUGUUCGCCAUUUAAAGUGGUACGCGAGCUGGGUUUAGAACGUCGUGAGACAGUUCGGUCCCUAUCUGCCGUGGGCGUUGGAAGAUUGAGAGGGGUUGCUCCUAGUACGAGAGGACCGGAGUGAACGCACCACUGGUGUUCGGGUUGUCAUGCCAAUGGCAUUGCCCGGUAGCUAAGUGCGGAAGAGAUAACCGCUGAAAGCAUCUAAGCGGGAAACUUGCCUCGAGAUGAGUCUUCCCUGUCGCUUUAAGCGACCUAAAGGAACGUUUAAGACUAAGACGUUGAUAGGCUGGGUGUGUAAGCGUAGCGAUACGUUGAGCUAACCAGUACUAAUGAACCGUGAGGCUUAACCUG